rnacentral:sRNA from 1 species
AUUUCCUGAAUUUGUCAGUAA